GACGAACGCUGGCGGCGUGCCUAAUACAUGCAAGUUGAGCGCUGAAGGUUGGUACUUGUACCAACUGGAUGAGCAGCGAACGGGUGAGUAACGCGUGGGGAAUCUGCCUUUGAGCGGGGGACAACAUUUGGAAACGAAUGCUAAUACCGCAUAAAAACUUUAAACACAAGUUCUAAGUUUGAAAGAUGCAAUUGCAUCACUCAAAGAUGAUCCCGCGUUGUAUUAGCUAGUUGGUGAGGUAAAGGCUCACCAAGGCGAUGAUACAUAGCCGACCUGAGAGGGUGAUCGGCCACAUUGGGACUGAGACACGGCCCAAACUCCUACGGGAGGCAGCAGUAGGGAAUCUUCGGCAAUGGACGAAAGUCUGACCGAGCAACGCCGCGUGAGUGAAGAAGGUUUUCGGAUCGUAAAACUCUGUUGGUAGAGAAGAACGUUGGUGGGAGUGGAAAGCUCAUCAAGUGACGGUAACUACCCAGAAAGGGACGGCUAACUACGUG
rnacentral:rRNA from 1 species